CGGGGGCCGCUUCCACCCUCGAGACAGCGGAAGAGCAUCCACCGACGCCAUCCUCCUCCCAUUAAGUGAGCCGGAAGAGGAAGUUCCUCUGCCCUUUCCCCAGAAUCCUCUCUAGCAGUCCAAUCCUCUAUCGUUUCCAGUUGUUCCGGCUCAGCCUCUCUCCCUCCCGUAUGACGUUGGCACUAGCGAUGCGGCUGCUGUGUACAGAACUGUAUUCUCUGCUUUCCAGCUAAGAAGCACCCUAUUUCCUACUGGUGCCCCAUCCCGGCUAAGCAAAGGAAAUUUGGGCUCGAAUUUCUGUCACAACCUGAGAACUACCGAUAUUUCUUUUCCAAGCUCAGGAGAGGGCUGGAAGUAUCAUUUCCCCCUUUUGGACAUCCUGGCCAGCUUCAUACCUUGAACAUCAGUUUGUUGUGCAUAAGAAAAUCAUGAGAGGCUUUCCUGGCAGAGGAAUUCAAGGCAUUGCUUCAGAUUAAGACCUUUUCUAAGGGCAGCUGAAGAGGGGAAUGAAAGGCUGGCAGCCUGGAACUUCAACUCGCCCUCGGCCUGCAGCUCUGACUUUGCCACCCGUAGAAAGGGCUGUGCAGGAGAAAGACACCUGGGCCCUUCUCGGUCUGGGUUCAGGCUGAGGCACAUCACCAAAAUGGCAUUGGUUGCAACUCUCGUGGACUUUAGGAGGCCUCAGGAUAGACGGGGUGCAACCAUUAUGUCCUUGCUGGACCUCUCAUCAGCUUUCAAUACUGUAUCAUCGACCAUGAUAUUGAAGGGAUUUUAUUGUGCUUAGGAUUUUACUAUGCUUAAGGUUGAUAGUAGUAGUGUUAUUUUGUAACCAUUUUAUAUUGAUACUACUAGUGAUAUUUUGUAAUCAUCUUAUAUAUAAUUUUGUUCAUGUGCAAGCAGCUCUGUAGGAGCCUUAUAUUGGGAAAUUAUUUACAUAAAAGCAAAUGUUUCAUGCUAAAUAUAGAGGAGAUUGCUUACAUGGAAGGAGCAACGUGAGAUUCAGUGGUCCGGGAAAUAAGGAGAGGGAAGGUGAGCUAGCCUGGAUUGAUGUGUAGGAGUCAUGACCUUGGAAUUUGUUUUUCUGUGCUUCCUUAGUCCUGGUAUGGGGACUUGAGUCUCUUUGUUCUGAAAGGGUAUAAAGAGUGGAAGAAA